AAAUCGUCGCCAAAUAGUCGCAGAUUAGCGUCGAAAUUGAGACUAAUAUCCAAAGAGAAAGAGAAAGAACCGAAGUUGAAGAAAAUAAUACACUUUAAACUGAACUACAUGUAUUAUAUUCUAAGUUCUAACCGGUGACCAAAGGAAUAAAAGAUAACACUACAUUCCUUAAUUUUCCAAAGAAAUGUUACCAUUUAUAAGGAUUUGUUUUCCUUUCUAUUCAUUUUAUCAUAUAGAUAAUAAAACAAAUUUGUUCCUCAUCAAA
rnacentral:lncRNA from 1 species